rnacentral:rRNA from 1 species
AGUGAACGCUGGCGGUAGGCCUAACACAUGCAAGUCGAACGGUAGCACAGUAAGAGCUUGCUCUUACGGGUGGCGAGUGGCGGACGGGUGAGGAAUACAUCGGAAUCUACUUUUUCGUGGGGGAUAACGUAGGGAAACUUACGCUAAUACCGCAUACGACCUACGGGUGAAAGCAGUGGAUCUUCGGACCUUGCGCGAUUGAAUGAGCCGAUGUCGGAUUAGCUAGUUGGCGGGGUAAAGGCCCACCAAGGCGACGAUCCGUAGCUGGUCUGAGAGGAUGAUCAGCCACACUGGAACUGAGACACGGUCCAGACUCCUACGGGAGGCAGCAGUGGGGAAUAUUGGACAAUGGGCGCAAGCCUGAUCCAGCCAUACCGCGUGGGUGAAGAAGGCCUUCGGGUUGUAAAGCCCUUUUGUUGGGAAAGAAAAGCAGCAGGUUAAUACCCCGCUGUUCUGACGGUACCCAAAGAAUAAGCACCGGCUAACUUCGUG